ensembl:ncRNA F43G9.16 ncRNA
AAAUAAUCAAUAAAAACUGAAAUCCACGUCGCAGGAUGCCGUAGCUACAGGUGCAAAGAGAUUAUAUCUGGCUAGCUGUUUCCACGCAGCGGGACGCUGCGACAAACGCACGCAAGGAUCCGGAAGAAAAAGAGAAACGAAACAGAAA